rnacentral:rRNA from 1 species
AUUGAACGCUGGCGGCAGGCCUAACACAUGCAAGUCGAACGGUAACAGGAAGAAGCUUGCUUCUUUGCUGACGAGUGGCGGACGGGUGAGUAAUGUCUGGGAAACUGCCUGAUGGAGGGGGAUAACUACUGGAAACGGUAGCUAAUACCGCAUAAUGUCGCAAGACCAAAGAGGGGGACCUUCGGGCCUCUUGCCAUCGGAUGUGCCCAGAUGGGAUUAGCUAGUAGGUGGGGUAACGGCUCACCUAGGCGACGAUCCCUAGCUGGUCUGAGAGGAUGACCAGCCGCACUGGAACUGAGACACGGUCCAGACUCCUACGGGAGGCAGCAGUGGGGAAUAUUGCACAAUGGGCGCAAGCCUGAUGCAGCUAUGCCGCGUGUAUGAAGAAGGCCUUCGGGUUGUAAAGUACUUUCAGCGGGGAGGAAGGGAGUAAAGUUAAUACCUUUGCUCAUUGACGUUACCCGCAGAAGAAGCACCGGCUAACUCCGUG